UUUGGGAGAUGGGGGUGCACAGUGCUCCCGGGGGGAGUAGAGGGGGCCCCCCUGAAGUCCCCCAGACGAGGCCCGUGAACACAGGCUGCUUCUGGGUAGUCACGAGGAAAGCGACGAUUCCCAGCAGCUGCACCUGCCCAGCCCGGGCGAGGCUGCAGGACUUUCGCCGAGAAGCAGCUUCACUCAAGACCAGCCUGCUUUCCGGAAGUCUCGGGCAGAGGCCGGGGACGCGGGCCUUUCUGAAACCCAAGGCAGUCCCGGGCCCUGGCCUUCUGAUGGGGGGAGGAGGAGCUGCACCGCCCGGCCCGGCAGAGGGACGCGGGGGUAAAACCCCGAGGAUGGAAAUAGCUCUGCACCUUGCCUGGGAUUGCUUUAAAAAAAUGCCCAGAGGGUAAAAACAGCCUGUUGGGGAGAACGGGACGCCACGGCUGCCUGUCCCAGCUACCCAUGGGCGCGUAGCGGGGGCUCUCGGAGGACGUCUGUCCAACAACCAAAUGGAUGAAUGCGUGAGUGGGCGAGCAUUGGAUUCCGCAGCAACUGGAAUGUUCCGGAACUGACCAUCACUGUCUUCCUGCUCAUGCCGCCCCGCAUUCUCACGUUGUUUGAUCUGUUCACCAGGGGGAGAACUAGUUGCCACAGAAGUCUCCAGGUGAC
rnacentral:lncRNA from 1 species